rnacentral:rRNA from 1 species
AAUAGAUACCCUGGUAGUCCACGCCGUAAACGAUGAGUGCUAAGUGUUAGAGGGUUUCCGCCCUUUAGUGCUGAAGUUAACGCAUUAAGCACUCCGCCUGGGGAGUACGGCCGCAAGGCUGAAACUCAAAGGAAUUGACGGGGGGCCCGCACAAGCGGUGGAGCAUGUGGUUUAAUUCGAAGCAACGCGAAGAACCUUACCAGGUCUUGACAUCCUCUGACAACCCUAGAGAUAGGGCUUCUCCUUCGGGAGCAGAGUGACAGGUGGUGCAUGGUUGUCGUCAGCUCGUGUCGUGAGAUGUUGGGUUAAGUCCCGCAACGAGCGCAACCCUUGAUCUUAGUUGCCAUCAUUAAGUUGGGCACUCUAAGGUGACUGCCGGUGACAAACCGGAGGAAGGUGGGGAUGACGUCAAAUCAUCAUGCCCCUUAUGACCUGGGCUACACACGUGCUACAAUGGACGGUACAAAGAGCUGCAAGACCGCGAGGUGGAGCUAAUCUCAUAAAACCCGUUCUCAGUUCGGA